rnacentral:tRNA from 1 species
GGACGUUUGCGCGGUCCGCCACGUUUACACCGUGGAUGUCGUCGGUUCGAUCCCGGCAGGGCCCA